GGGGCUAUAGCUCAGCUGGGAGAGCGCUACAAUGGCAUUGUAGAGGUCAUCGGUUCGAUCCCGUUUAGCUCCACCA
rnacentral:tRNA from 5 species